GUAAGAGGAUGUAUAGGGUGUGACGCCUGCCCGGUGCUCGAAGGUUAAUUGAUGAUGUUAGCUUACGCAAAGCAUCUGAUCGAAGCCCGAGUAAACGGCGGCCGUAACUAUAACGGUCCUAAGGUAGCGAAAUUCCUUGUCGAUUAAAUAUCGACCUGCAUGAAUGGCGUAACGAGAUGGGAGCUGUCUCGAAGAGGGAUCCAGUGAAAUUGUAGUGGAGGUGAAAAUUCCUCCUACCCGCGGCAAGACGGAGAGACCCCGUGGACCUUUACUAUAGCUUGACACUGCUACUUGGAUAAAGAUGCGCAGGAUAGGUGGGAGGCUUCGAUUCGUAGAUCUCGGUUUACGAUGAGCCAUUGUUGAGAUACCACUCUUCUUUAUUCGGGUAGCUAACUAGCCUAAGUUAUCCUUAGGUAGGACAAUGUCUGGUGGGUAGUUUGACUGGGGCGGUCGCCUCCCAAAAUGUAACGGAGGCUUACAAAGGUUGGCUCAAAGCGGUUGGAAAUCGCUUGCAGAGUAUAAAGGCAAAAGCCAGCUUAACUGCGAGACAUACACGUCGAGCAGAGACGAAAGUCGGUCUUAGUGAUCCGGUGGUUCUGUGUGGAAGGGCCAUCGCUCAAAGGAUAAAAGGUACCCCGGGGAUAACAGGCUGAUCUCCCCCAAGAGCUCACAUCGACGGGGAGGUUUGGCACCUCGAUGUCGGCUCAUCGCAUCCUGGGGCUGGAGCAGGUCCCAAGGGUAUGGCUGUUCGCCAUUUAAAGCGGUACGCGAGCUGGGUUCAGAACGUCGUGAGACAGUUCGGUCCCUAUCUGCCGUGGGCGCAAGAAGAUUGAGGAGAGUUGACCCUAGUACGAGAGGACCGGGUUGAACCGACCACUGGUGUACCGGUUGUUCUGCCAAGAGCACCGCCGGGUAGCUAAGUCGGGAUGCGAUAAGAGCUGAAAGCAUCUAAGCUCGAAGCCGACUCCAAGAUGAAUCUUCUUUUAAGAGCUCUAGUAGACUACUAGUUUGAUAGGCCGGAUGUGUAAUGGAUGAAAGUCCUUUAGCUGACCGGUACUAAUAGCUCGUUUGCUUAUCUUU
rnacentral:rRNA from 1 species